GACGAACGCUGGCGGCGUGCUUAACACAUGCAAGUCGAACGGAAGUAGCAAUACUUCAGUGGCGCACGGGUGAGGAACACGUAGCUCAUCUGCCCUCAAGUGUGGGAUAACGCUCCGAAAGGAGUGCUAAUACCGCAUAAGCUCCCGGAUUGCAGAGGUCUGGGAGAAAAGGAGUAAUUCGCUUGAGGAGGAGGCUGCGGCCCAUCAGGUAGUUGGUGCGGUAACGGCGCACCAAGCCGACGACGGGUAGGGGACCUGAGA
rnacentral:rRNA from 1 species